GCUCGUAUGGCGCAAUUGGCUAGCGCGUUCGACUGUUAAUCGAGAGGUUGCUGGUUCGAUCCCAGCUAUGAGCG